GCCCUGCGCUCAUUAAUGUGAAUUGCAGAAUUCCGUGCAUCAUCUAUUCUUUGAACGCACAUUGCGCCCCCUGGUAUUCCGGGGGGCAUGCCUGUCCGAGCGUCAUUGCUGCCCUCAAGCACGGCUUGUGUGUUGGGCUUCCGUCCCUGGCAACGGGGACGGGCCCAAAAGGCAGUGGCGGCACCAUGUCUGGUCCUCGAGCGUAUGGGGCUUUGUCACCCGCUCCCGUAGGUCCAGCUGGCAGCUAGCCUCGCAACCAAUCUUUUUAACCAGGUUGACCUCGGAUCAGGUAGGGAUACCCGCUGAACUUAAGC
rnacentral:misc_RNA from 1 species